CAAUAGCGUAUAUUAAAGUUGUUGCAGUUAAAAAGCUCGUAGUUGGAUUUCUGAGAGGAUGCCAAUGUCCUUCUGUGUAAGUGUGCAGCGGCGUCUUUUCAUCCUUCUGUUAACACCUCUUGGCAUUCGUUUGCUGGUGGUGGGCUCAGAUAUUUUACCUUGAGAAAAUUAGAGUGUUUCAGGCAGGCUAGGCCGGAAUACAUUAGCAUGGAAUAAUGGAAUAGGACUACGGUCUCUUUGUUGGUUUGAGGGACUGCAGUAAUGAUUAAUAGGGAUAGUUGGGGACAUUAGUAUUUAAUUGUCAGAGGUGGAAUUCUCGGAUUUGUUAAAGACUAACUUAUGCGAAAGCAUUUGCCAAGGAUGUUUNCAUUA
rnacentral:rRNA from 1 species